GUUGCCGCCGCUACUGUUGCUGACUGCUACCAUUGCUGCUGCUCGAGUUGGCGCUGCUAGCCAGCUUUUCUGUUGAAGUUGCAGCAGAAAAAAAUAAAUAGAGAGAAGAAGAGAGGAAGAAAAGAAAGUAAGGAGAAAGAGAAAAAGAAAACGAGAGGGGGAGAGGAGAAUCGGUGGUGACUGUUGCACCGGUCCAUCUCUGCCGAGUCCAAUGCGACUCAGCCUCAGUUUUGGUCCAGGAUCUUGCUGGACGUCCGAGCAAGAUGAAAAGAAAGGGAGGAAGAAAGGAAUAAAGGAAAAAAAAAAAAAAAAAAAAAGAAGAAAAGAGGGAGAGAAGGCAGCUUGGGGCUGCGUCCAGUUAGAAUCGAGUCGACUCGGUUGGGACCGAGUCUAACUCGGCUGAGCUAGGCAUGGAUCUGAUCUAGGUUAGCUGGGGUUCCAGCAAGGAAAAAGAAAAAGAGGAAAAGAGGGAGAGAGGGAGUGAGAGAAAGAAGAAAGUGAAGAAAGGAAGAAAGGAGUGUGGUCAUUUACGUUGAGAAGGAUAAACCGUUUCGAGCCGGUCUAGAUCCAAAUUGACUUGGACUUUCGGUUCAUCGAGUAUUUUGAGUCCUUUAAUGAUCUCUAACCAAACAAGAAAUAAAUCUACUCUCUAAGUUGAUGCAGGUGUAGAGAAAGCCAAUGCAGUUCAUAAGAUUGUUAUAGGAUUUCACAUCCCAAGAUUGUUGUAAUUUAUUUUAUUUCACAUGUAAUAUUAUUUAAUUUUGUAAUUGUAAGAAUGAGGGCAUUGGUUUGUAUAAGUCAUUAUGAGCAGCUUCUUGUAUAUUCCAAAUGUAAAUGAAAUUUUCCUUUAUACUGAUUUGUCCACUCUACGCU